rnacentral:rRNA from 1 species
CGCCGUUGGACCCAUUGGCCCAAUUGAUGUGGUGCUUGCACCUGAUUGAUUUUGGUCGCCAACGAGUGGCGGACGGGUGAGUAACACGUAGGUAACCUGCCCAGAAGCGGGGGACAACAUUUGGAAACAGAUGCUAAUACCGCAUAACAACGUUGUUCGCAUGAACAACGCUUAAAAGAUGGCUUCUCGCUAUCACUUCUGGAUGGACCUGCGGUGCAUUAGCUUGUUGGUGGGGUAAUGGCCUACCAAGGCGAUGAUGCAUAGCCGAGUUGAGAGACUGAUCGGCCACAAUGGGACUGAGACACGGCCCAUACUCCUACGGGAGGCAGCAGUAGGGAAUCUUCCACAAUGGGCGCAAGCCUGAUGGAGCAACACCGCGUGAGUGAAGAAGGGUUUCGGCUCGUAAAGCUCUGUUGUUAAAGAAGAACACGUAUGAGAGUAACUGUUCAUACGUUGACGGUAUUUAACCAGAAAGUCACGGCUAACUACGUGCCAGCAGCCGCGGUAAUACGUAGGUGGCAAGCGUUAUCCGGAUUUAUUGGGCGUAAAGAGAGUGCAGGCGGUUUUCUAAGUCUGAUGUGAAAGCCUUCGGCUUAACCGGAGAAGUGCAUCGGAAACUGGAUAACUUGAGUGCAGAAGAGGGUAGUGGAACUCCAUGUGUAGCGGUGGAAUGCGUAGAUAUAUGGAAGAACACCAGUGGCGAAGGCGGCUACCUGGUCUGCAACUGACGCUGAGACUCGAAAGCAUGGGUAGCGAACAGGAUUAGAUACCCUGGUAGUCCAUGCCGUAAACGAUGAGUGCUAGGUGUUGGAGGGUUCCGCCCUUCAGUGCCGGAGCUAACGCAUAAGCAYCCCCSCCCC